CUGGGAACUUCCACAGGCCUUGGGUGCCUGUGUUGGAAGGGAUGGCGACGGUGGUCAGAAAGCAGGUUGGGCAUCUGCUCAGUGUAGCGUGUGAAGUCCCCUGGGCCUGCAGGUGCCAGACAGGCUGGUUUUCCUGGUGCUCAGCUUCUUAUUCUGGGCCUCUCGGGGCUGGGGACACCACGGGCAGGGCCGUGUCACCCAAAAGCUCGAGGCCCAGCCUGGGGCACAAAGGGAGGUCAAGGGCCCACCCAGCCUAUAGCCCCUGGGCUGGCACCUUAUGGAAAACGGCCCUUUUCCGUGGGGGCCUCCUGCUGGUUUGCACAGAUGCCUUGUCCUUUAAAGUGGGACAUGGCUUACUUCGUCAUCGUGCAAGUCAGUCAGGGUACGUGGGUCCCCAGGCGGUGACCCUGGGCUCCGUCCCUUUGCGUUGUAAGCGAGCUCACUCACCGACCAUCAUCAGCAACGUGGGGGAAGCGGCGCCAGGGGACAGGUUCGGGGUUUCUCCUCUUGGAAACAUGCCAGGCAAGGAGCAGCUGUGCUGGGAGGGACGGGGUCACUGUCUCCUGCCGCAGAGAACGUCACAAGUGACACUGUUGCUUACGGUCUGCCCGUGUUUCUUGCUCCAGAACCACGAGGCUGCCCUGAGGUUCUCGGUCACUCUGCGGGGAUGUCAGAGAGCCCCGCUGGACCCAAACCCGCGAUGCUCCGGGCCGACAUGCCCGCGGCGCCCUCCUUCCAGCGGGCGUUCACGUCCUCCUGCACGAUUUCUGGCAACAGCUCCGGCCAGCGGAGGGAGAGCCCUUCCUCGGCCGAGCACCAGUGGGUGGAGAGCAGCCCCAAGUCCACGCUGGCCCUGCUGGGGGGCAGCCGGCCUGCAGGGAGCCUCCUCGGCGCCAGCGAGUUCUCCGGGCCUGGCAAGGACGGCCCCGGGCGGCCCCCCUUCCCGCCUGCCGAGCUCCAGACGUCCUUCCACGGCCACGAGCUGUCCCUGGUGGAGCCGCCCGAAGCCCUGGGCCCCCCGAGCAGCCAGGCCUUCCUGAGCUUCAGCACAGCCCCCUCGGGAGGUGGCCUCGCCCCCAGGGAGGAUUCUGGGGCCUUGCUGGCCAAUUCCCACGGGGCGUCCCCCGCCCCCGGCCCCCCGCGGACAGCAGCUGAGGCCACCGACAAUGGCUUCCUGUCCCACAACUUUCUCACGGUGGCGCCUGGACACAGCGGCCACCACAGCCCGGUCCUGCAGGGCCCGGGGAUGACCCUGCCCGGGCAGCCGCCCCUUCCCGAGAAGAAGAGGGCCUCGGAGGGAGACCGUUCCUUCGGCUCCGUCUCCCCGUCCUCCAGCGGCUUCUCCAGCCCUCACAGCGGGAGCACCAUGAGCAUCCCUUUCCCCAACGUCCUCCCGGACUUUUCCAAGGCUGCAGAGGCAGCAGCACCGUCCCCAGGUAGGUGCGUCUCCGCCGCGGGAGGCUCUCCUCCUGCACCCGGGAGGG
rnacentral:lncRNA from 1 species